rnacentral:rRNA from 1 species
AACGCGAAGAACCUUACCAAGUCUUGACAUCCCGGUGACAAAGUAUGUAAUGUACUCUCUCUUCGGAGCACCGGUGACAGGUGGUGCAUGGUUGUCGUCAGCUCGUGUCGUGAGAUGUUGGGUUAAGUCCCGCAACGAGCGCAACCCUUAUCCUUAGUAGCCAGCGGUUCGGCCGGGCACUCUAGGGAGACUGCCAGGGAUAACCUGGAGGAAGGCGGGGAUGACGUCAAAUCAUCAUGCCCCUUAUGACUUGGGCUACACACGUGCUACAAUGGCGUAAACAAAGGGAAGCAGCCCUGUGAAGGUGAGCAAAUCCCAAAAAUAACGUCUCAGUUCGGAUUGUAGUCUGCAACUCGACUACAUGAAGCUGGAAUCGCUAGUAAUCGCAGAUCAGAAUGCUGCGGUGAAUACGUUCCCGGGUCUUGUACACACGC